GAUGAAGAACGCAGCGAAAUGCGACAAGUAAUGUGAAUUGCAGAAUUCCGUGAAUCAUCGAAUCUUUGAACGCACAUUGCGCCCUCUGGUAUUCUGGCGGGCAUGCCUGUUCGAGCGUCAUUUCAACCCUCAAGCCCCCGGGCUUGGUGUUGGGGAUCGGCGUGCCCUCGCGGCGCGCCGUCCCCUAAAUCUAGUGGCGGUCUCGCUGUAGCUUCCUCUGCGUAGUAGCAACACUCGCACUGGAUCGCAGCGCGGCCACGCCGUUAAACCCCCCACUUCUGAAAGUUUGACCUCGGAUCAGGUAGGAAUACCCGCUGAACUUAAGCAUAUCAAUAAGCGGAGGA
rnacentral:misc_RNA from 1 species